UACGGAGGGGGUUAGCGUUGUUCGGAAUUACUGGGCGUAAAGCGUACGUAGGCGGAUUAGUAAGUUGGGGGUGAAAUCCCGGGGCUCAACCCUGGAAUUGCCUCCAAAACUGUGCUGCUUGAGUUCGGAAGAGGAGAGUGGAAUUCCCAGUGUAGAGGUGAAAUUCGUAGAUAUUGGAAGAACACCAGUGGCGAAGGCGGCUCUCUGGUCCGAUACUGACGCUGAGGUGCGAAAGCGUGGGGAGCAAACAGG
rnacentral:rRNA from 1 species